AGAGCUAGCAAUCCCAUAAACCGUGGCUCAGUUCAGAUCGUAGGCUGCAACUCGCCUACGCGAAGGAGGAAUCGCUAGUAAUCGCAGGUCAGCAUACUGCGGUGAAUACGUUCCCGGGCCUUGUACACACCGCCCGUCACACCAUGGAAGUUGGCCACGCCCGAAGCCGUUACUCCAACCCUUGUGGAGGAGGAUGUCGAAGGUGGGGCUGAUGACUGGGGUGAAGUCGUAACAAGGUAGCCGUACCGGAAGGUGCGGCUGGAUCACCUCCUAACA
rnacentral:rRNA from 1 species